rnacentral:lncRNA from 1 species
CUGAUCGUAUUUUUGAAUUGUUACUCGUUUUUUCUUUAUUUUGGUUUAAGGCAUGAGGAACAUUUGAGGCUAAUUUUUGAAUUUCUCUUAAAAUUUUUUUAUGAUUACCUUCAUCUUUUUUAGUUUUUUUACAAUUUUUUGGUUUACUUUCAGCUGAUUUCCGUUUCUUUCCUUUCUGCUGCUUCUUAGGUUGCUGUGUGAUUGAUAAUUGCAAGAAUAAUUCUAAAUGUUUGUUCAUUUUUAUAAGUUCACUCAAUAUAUUAUUAUUUUGCUGCUGUAGUCUUUUUGCCGACUCUUCUAUCUUUUCAAUUAAUUUUUCAAUAGCUGAUGAACUAAUUAUCGACCAGGAUUGCGUGAAUUUUUCAUGACUAAGAUCACCUUUAUACUCUUCUUGCGUCUCUGUUAAAUUAAUUAAAUCAAUUUGUUGUUGUUGUAGUUGUAGUUGUUGCUGCUGCUGUUGUGGUUGUUGUUGUUGUUGCUAUGCACCCUGCAGAGCAUCUGUGUAGGGUCAAGCUGUAUCGGUUGCAGCUCUCGCUCGCUGUAGAGAGUCAGUGUAGAGAAAACACAAGCCUGCAGGCGCCUGCGUGGGGACUAUGGGGAACGUAUUUAAAAGUACGGGGGAGAGGGUAGCUGAGAAAACGAGAAAAAAAGUAGAGAAUCGGCGUGCUUUGCUCGAAAAUUCGUCUCCAGACGUUCGGUUGCAGCUCUCGCUGUAGAGAGUCAGUGUACCGAAAACAUAAGCCUACAGGCGUCUGCGUGGGGACUAUGGGAAACGUAUUUAAAAGUACGGGGGAGAGGGUAGUGGAAAAUCCGAAGAUCUAGCUGUUUCGACUGCACUGCGCAGGCUGUAGAGAAUCGAUACAAUACGCUAGAGUGGGGACUGUGGGGAACGCAUUUAAAAGUAUGAGAGAGAGGGUAGAAGAAAAAUCCCAGGAUCUAGCUGUAUCUGCUGUACCGCGCGCGAUAUACAAAAUCGGUGCGCUUUGAACGAAAAUACUGCUUGUAGAGGCCUGAGUGGGGACUAUGGGAGAUGCAUAUAAACGUAUGAGAGAGGGGGUAGCUGAUGUCGUUCAAAGAAACAUGAAAAGAGACGUUGCACGUCGCAAGCGUGAAUGAAUCGAGCUUGAGAAGCUUUUUUUAGUGGAAGGGGUACACAUUUCUAGUAUAUUUAAGCAGUCCUCUGCUCCAUGUUUGUAUACAUUUCCGAGUGUAAUCAAGCAGUAUACUGUUCUCUACAAUAGUUGAGUAAGCUGUAGAAUUUCUGGUAAUAAAUCAUAUAUCCAACUUGAAGGUCUUCCGCGUAUACUAUCCAAUAAAAAUGUUAGUUACGUUCCAAAUGUAAGAGCAGGGUCCUCAGCAACAAAAGAAAACAAAGACAAUAAAACAGAACGUGAACCCCUGUCCAAGGAGGAGUUACUACGAUUUCCGGAGGACGAACGUUUCUUAUACCUUAAUGGUAUCGCCAACAAAGUGUUAGUGAAUCAACAAAAAAUCCUGAAAAGUAGUUCAUCUGGUCAGCCUUCAAAAUCCUUCGCCACUGUUUUGGCAGUCAGAAGUAUUCUUCCGUUUGAUGAAUACCCGAGACUGAAGAAAUGAUGUAUCAAAGAAGAUGAGUUUUAUGACAGAAUGAAAAGGUGGCAAAGACGGCCAUGAGAAUUUGCGUGGCAUGUUAAGCGAGGCGUUAACGAAUAAAUUGGCUCAGCAAUUUAAUUUUGCCGGACGUAGAGGGAAAUAUUCAUUCCAAGAUUUAGACAAAAUUUAUCAGAUGGCUUCUGAUAUAGCAGUCGAAUCGGAUCCUAAAUACACCUAUAAGGAUGCAAAAACAACAAUCGAAGCUUACUUAAAGCAAUCUACGAAAAGGAUAAAAGUUCCUUGGCAAAGCUCAACAAAGAAAGGGAACACCAAGAAAAGGCAAAACCGUAGCAACUAUAACUUGGAAUCAAGCACGCAGUAUGCAGUGGAGCACCUGAGACCCUCGGCCCGUAUUUCGCUCACUAAUGUUCUAACUUUUCAUUCACAUUCUCGCCAAUUUUCAAAUAUCGAUUCCUUGUAUCUUCUCUAUAACUUGAAUUGAAUAAAUUUUCAUUAAAUUUUA